rnacentral:lncRNA from 1 species
GCCAAAAGAAAAAUACUUCUGGCAGAGGAGAAGAGCUUAUAUUACGGGUCAACAGAAAUUCAGGGAGAGGAAGAAAUGGCUCACUGUCAUUGUCUCCAUGGUCUAUGAGGCCAGACUGGGAAAGAACCGCUCUCUAUUUUCCCAUCUCUUCAUCCAGUUGCUGAAGACUGAACUUGCUCUUGCUCCUUUCAGCCCCAGGAAGAACUGAGGAAAAAAAGCAAAAUUUCUCAUCUAUACCUUCAGAAGCAACAUGGCGUGGCAGAAAGGACAUCAGUAUUGGAAUCACACAGAAUGAGAUCCUGGCAGCAAAACGCAAUAGAGAAGAUCAGCUGCAUCUGGCCCAUCUAAGGAUAAAAAACAAGUGUGCAAAGACAUAGCCCCCCAGUACAUAGUUAUAUCUUCUAGUUGUUGGUCCUCCUGGUUGUGCUACGUGGGACACUGCCUCAGCAUGGCCUGAUGAGCGGUGCCAUGUCCAUGUCCAGGAUCCA